rnacentral:rRNA from 1 species
GUGUCAGCCGCCGCGGUAAUACGUAGGGGGCAAGCGUUGUCCGGAAUUAUUGGGCGUAAAGAGCUCGUAGGCGGCCCACUAAGUCGAAUGUGAAAUCUCACGGCUCAACCGUGAAAUCGCAUCCGAUACUGGCGGGCUUGAGGCAGGUAGGGGAAGGUGGAAUUCCUGGUGUAGCGGUGAAAUGCGCAGAUAUCAGGAGGAACACCGGUGGCGAAGGCGGCCUUCUGGGCCUGUUCUGACGCUGAGGAGCGAAAGCGUGGGGAGCAAACAGGAUUAGAUACCCUGGUAGUCCACGCUGUAAACGAUGGGUGCUAGGUGUGGGGGGUUAUCCACUCCCUCCGUGCCGCAGCUAACGCAUUAAGCACCCCGCCUGGGGAUUACGACCGCAAGGUUAAA